GGCCUGGUGGUGAAGUGGUUUAGUGUGCUUAACCUGGGAUCGAAAGGCCCAAAGAUCAAGUCUUUGCCAUGGCU